ensembl:lncRNA DRAIC downregulated RNA in cancer, inhibitor of cell invasion and migration
GUGUGUCCGGAGAGGCCAACGCUUUCAUUAGCCAGCAGGAAUGGGCUGGGGCGCGUUUGUAGUUGGGAAUCCUGAGCCCGGGCUGUUGCUUGGAGGACUCGGGAGCAGCAGUGGAUUUCGGCGUUACCAGGAGAGGUCUCUGGAAAGCUCCCUGUGUUAAUUCUCGAUGAGACUACGUCUGUGCCGGCCGCUUCCUGAGCCUCCUUCCAUGUGCAUAGGCCUGCUGCAUGCUGGAGACCUGCGGCACAGCUGCCAAGUGCCCCGUGUGGUUCUGUGAUCUUGGGACAGUCACUUCCUCUCUGUGGUUGUCAGUCUUCUCAUCCCUAAGCACUCAAGAAGCCCUUCCUUCUCUGGCUGUCAAGUCUGGACUCAUCUCUUGUCUUACACACGGACAGUUGUUUUAAGGAAAAGCCCCUGGUUGGACUUGCAGAUUGGGCACAGCCCUGGACGUAUACUACAGGUGCUCAUCAAGGCUUGCCUCAUCUGUUUACCCUCCAGGUCAUGCCCCUUUCUACCUCUACACCCUGUUGCAUUGCGGGCAUGGCCUCCGGAAAAGUCAAGCAUGGCGAAAGGAAGCGUGGCCCAGAGCUGGCACGCCACAGGCAAAUGGAAUAAAAAGGCCUACCUCAUUGGGCUCGUGUGGGUGAGGAGAACUGAAGAGUCUGAGAGCGCGGCACGAGCCAGAGGCUACGGAAAACACUGCCCUCCUACACUCCACCUUGGAGAGACCCAGAAAAGAACAAGCUUCAUUUGUAAAAAAGGAAAACAACUCAGGCAAUGGGGGUGGCUUAAAGGCACUCUACAGUGUGCAGAUGCCUUCCACUUCUUCCAUCUGCCCUGUCUCUCCAAGAACCCCUAUGGCCCCGGUCUCAGAACAGAGCUGAGUGCAGAAAUGAAAAUCUAUGGCUCUGUGUUCCAAAACGAUGAAGAAUUUCAAGAUGGUGGCAGUGGUAAAAUCUUUCUCCAGGAAAAAUCUGUCCUUGGCCCAAUGUGUAAACACUUGCUGAGGAACUUGGAAUAACUUGCAGUGUCUUGCAGUAUUGUGAAACCAGCAACUUGUUCACAAUUCUUCUGAAUUUCUUGGGAAAUUUGAAGUGGAGUACCUGUACCAACAUGAAAUGACACGAAUUUAAGUGACGCUCAACAACGAAAAGCAAAAAGAACCAAAGAGGAAGCAACUGAAACAACAUCUGGAUGUAUUUAAAAAUAUACAAUGCCUCCAAAAUCAGGUGUCAUUAAUGAAAAUUCUGAAGAAAUGCCACCGGACAUAGCCAACGCACCUACGCUGUUGUUAUUCAUUUCCUGCUUUUCACAGAAAACAAUUUUGUUGCAUGGAAGAUCGUGAACUUCAAAGGGCAGAGGGGAAACUGUCCCUUGGCCUCUACCCCUCCAAGGCCCCACUUUUUUGUCAACACUCCUUGGACGCAGCAGAAGUAUGAACAUAAUAUGGUCCUGAAUGAGGCUGAGUCUUUGGGCGCAGAAGACCCGGGUUAAUAAAAAUAGGAAGGUAAGAAAAGAAAAGAAAAAUCAAGACACAUCAUAGGACUAAAUUCCUAUUAUUUAUCCACUCAGGAUUGACCACCCCUUUGGGCCAGAUAGUUGUACCCCCAUGUACCAGGUGGGCACAUGAAGACACAAGAAGUGCUGUGAUGGUUCAUUUUGCACGUCACCUUGCGUGGAGUAUGCCAACUCAUUGUUUGGUCAAACACUAGUCUGGACAUGGUGGUAAAGGUAUUUUUUAGAUGAGAUUAACACUUAAAUCAGUAAAGCAGGUUACCCACCAUACUACGGGUGGGCCCUGUCCAAUCAGUUGAAGGCAUUAAGAACAAAGAUUGAGGUUUCCUAAAGAAGAUGGAAUUCUCCUUGAGACUACAACAUAGAAACCCUAUCUGAGUUUCCAGCCUGUUGCCCUGUGGAAUUCAAACUCAGGACUCCGGUCUAUGACAUUAACCCUCACUUAACUUUUCAGCCUGCCAGCCUGCCCUAUGGAUUUCGGACUUGCCAGCCACACAAUUCCUUAAAAUAAAUCUCUCCGUCUCUGUCUGU